UACAGAGGUCCCAAGCGUUUGUUCGGAUUCACUGGGCGUAAAGGGUGCGUAGGCGGUCGGGUAAGUCUGAUGUGAAAUCUCACAGCUUAACUGUGAAACUGCAUUGGAUACUAUCCGGCUCGAGGAAUGGAGGGGAGACUGGAAUACUUGGUGUAGCAGUGAAAUGCGUAGAUAUCAAGUGGAACACCAGUGGCGAAGGCGAGUCUCUGGACAUUUCCUGACGCUCAGGCGCGAUAGCGUGGGGAUCAAACAGG
rnacentral:rRNA from 1 species